GGGCUUGAAGACAUCAGGACCAAGGCAAUGAAGAUUGUUGCUUAUUUUAGAUCAAGCACUGUUGCAAAGGAGCAACUUGUCAAUUUCCAGCUACAGAUGGGCAAACCUGGUCAUAAAUUACAGCAGGAAGUAGAGACGUGCUGGAACAGCACAUUUGACAUGCUGUCCAGACUUUAUGAACAGCGUGAACCACUUGGUGCUGCACUGGUGUCCCUGAGGACAGAUUUGGUUCCUCUAUCCUCAGCAGAGUAACACACAAUGUCUGAGUGCCUUGGUGUAUUGUCUCCACUAAAGGAUGCAACUGCUGAACUUUCUGCAGAAAAACUGUGUCUGGCUCCAAGGUCAUUCCCCUCAUUCGCAUGUUGAGGCAUGCUAUAUCUACAAAGCAGCAAGUGGUGACUGAUGAAAAGGCAGCACAGCUCUGCGUCAACCUCUUAACACUAAUGUCUGAGAGGUUGGCUCAUUAUGAAACAGCAAGCCAAUAAAAAAAACAUUGGGUUUUGCAAACCACCCAAUGCCCAGAAUGCUAUAAAAAGGCUUACAGCUGUGUGCAACAAAGGUAAGGGAAACAGCAUCUGACCCCAUACCAGAGCAUGGGGAAACCUCUACAGCAGCUGCAGGCACCUCAGGGACAGGACUGUGGGAUCUUCUUGAUCAACGGGUGAUGGAAACAAGAAAAGUGAAGAGUGCCAAUGCCAAUGCAACCAUUGAGAUUCAGCGCUACCUGAGUGAACCCUUAUUUUCUAAGGCUGGUGAAGUGGUCAGCAAGAAGAGAAACAGGAUCAGGCCCAGCACUGUGGAGAAAAUCUUGUUCCUAUAUAAAAAUCUAACCACAGGUUACCCAUAAAUCACUACAAUUAAUUCCCCCAAGUUUAUAGCAACAUUCAUUUCGAAUCACUAUGUAUGCAUUUCUUUGGACACCUGAUUGCUGACUGCUGGAAAAUUGUCCGUAGUGUGUGAUUUCGUGAGUGAAUGAGAGUGUGUGUGUCCUGCGAUGGGUUGGGACUCCGUCCAGAGUGUAUCCUGCCUUGAUGCCCGAUGACAGGCUCCCCAUGACCAGAGUAGUUAGGGUAAGCGAUAGAAAAUGAAUGAAUGAAUGAAUGAAUAAAGCACAAAGCCUUCAACAUUCAUGAGAUUGAUUUUUUUCUAAAAACAGACAAAAUGUCCACAUUCACCAUACAAAAAGUUAUCUUUAUUACAUUUUUGUUUGGAGUUACCUUGCGUAUGCAGUGGAUAAUGCUUUGGUCAUGUAUUUACUAUAUUGAUACGUUUAUUUAUUAAUCUAUCCUUAAUUUGUCAAUCCAUUAAUUUUUGCUUCUAAAAUUAAUACGUUGUUUGGUUGUGGAACUUUCUGUGACAGCGCUUUCACCAGCACAGAUCCUCAUCGAGCUCUGAUGUGAAAAGCUUCGAGUAAUGAACCUUUUUCCGAUACAAUUGGGUUGAAAGUUUCACUGCUUCAAGAAAGCUUCACUUCGCCAUCACUACUGAUUAAUUCGGUACGGGAGUAGAGAUAAAAGCCCCGCCCACACUGACAAUCAAUUGGUUGACUUACAGAAACAGACCAAUCAGGAUGUUCUCUGUCUUACAUGCGCUUAAUGAGACACGCGCACACUAGCACACGCAGGGUCUCUCGUUCCCCCGCCCUCUCUGUCGCGCAUGCGCGCUCUUGCUCGCUCGCUCUAGAUUCCGGCAGAUUGUAAAUAAAUCUAUGUUAAAAACACAUAAUGUCGGUAAACUAUAGUGAUUUUGUACAAACAUUCUGUAUGUUUUGUUCAUGAACAACUGAAGAGAGGAGACUGAAAGGACUGUAUACAAACCUGGUUAAACCUGUUUUACAGGAAGGAGGAGUCGUGUAUCUGAUCAUAACAGGUGAUGUGUUGUUUGGUAAUGAGUCGACUCUUUGAAUCGGCUCUUUGGCUGAACGUUGAGAGCUGACUCGCAAAUCUUUCUAAAAAUUAGACUGUGGUUAAUAAUUUACUGAAAUGUAAUUUAUUUUGAUUUGAGGAAAAAGCAGUGUCUAAAUGCUAAAAGAAUGCACGUGACUGAACAAGAUGGUAACAUGUUUAUUGGUACAGUACACUGUAAAAAAUCCAACUUGCAAAUUGUUAACUGCAACAGGUUUGUAGUGCAGUGUAAGCGUUGCAGAUUUGCCCACAGUAGCAGAGACGUCCUCUUGAAACACUACAGGCUUCGGCACUAUCAAGUGUGAUCCUAUCAGCAUCCUUGCUUGUAUACUGACCGUAUCUGCACUUUUAAAACUUUAGAAUAUGCGGCUCCGUGUUGUGUUGGCCCCUGGUAAUAUUACGAGGAUGGAUAUUUUGCAAAAUCUCACUUCGGUUGAACAUUUGAAAACAAUUCUUCAAGAAAGGCUUGAAAUCGAGGAUGAUUUUCUGAUUCAGUUUGAGGAUCCUGAGUUCGGAAAUGAACUUGACCAGUAUAACAGAGCUUCCACAAGAAAGAGCAGUGCUGAAGAUCAUCCAGAAAGUACCUGAAGAAUCAGAAAUAGAGACCUCGAAAAAAGUGCACAAUGACUCUAGAUGUUUAAAGAAAGCAAAGAGAUGUGAGGUAAACUUCCUCCCAGACAACCCAGUAGGGCAGACAGAUUGUUCCUUACAGAAGGAAAAAGAUGCACUACAAGAGGAAAUAAAGAAGAAACAUUUCAGCAUUACAAUUGUUGACUCCAAAAUGGAGCUGACAUUCUCUCUGAGAAGAAUGGAGAUAUUUAAUGAAGAACCUCUUGUGGCUGAAUGUUUUUGGAAGAUCAGGUCUCUGCCGAGUUUUACAGAAUUACACAAACCAACCUGAACAGUACCUUUUUGUCUCCCACAUGGUGGAGCCUAUGGAGAUGAAAUGAAGACCCUCCUAGACCAACUUGUUCAAGCUUCUGAUGUGCUUGCUCAAAGAAAAGCUACAGCUCUCAAAGGUCUACCUUUGUUUAUGAGGGAAAAGUCUGGAAACUUCCUGAAGAACUUGCCUGGACACAGACCCAGAAGACACUCAUACAAAAGGGUUGAAGAUGGGGGUCUUAACUGUCACUGAAGAUGACGUUGCCACCAUCCAUUCAAACCCAAAUGUAAGGUCCCUGUCUGUAGUUGUAGAGGAGCAGGUUGUGCUGGAUAAAGUGCAAGACUUCCCUACAGCUGUUGCUCUCCUAUUUGGCUUGUUUUAUGCCAUCAACAUUAUCUAUCAUAAAGAACUAAAAUAUACUUUUGAAACUAUUCAGAAAGUGUUUAUUGGCCUUGACCCCCAGUGUUCUGCAAGAGUCCAGUCCUUCAAAAACAAAUUGUUAA